rnacentral:rRNA from 1 species
CCGACGGUGAGGGGCGAAAGCUGGGGGAGCAAACCGGAUUAGAUACCCGGGUAGUCCCAGCUGUAAACGAUGCAAACUCGAUGAUGCGUUGGCUUGUUGCUAGCGCAGUGUCGCAGGGAAGCCGUUAAGUUUGCCGCCUGGGAAGUACGUACGCAAGUAUGAAACUUAAAGGAAUUGGCGGGGGAGCACCACAAGGGGUGAAGCCUGCGGUUCAAUUGGAGUCAACGCCAGAAAUCUUACCCGGAGAGACAGCAGAAUGAAGGUCAAGCUGAAGACUUUACCAGACAAGCUGAGAGGUGGUGCAUGGCCGUCGCCAGCUCGUGCCGUGAGAUGUCCUGUUAAGUCAGGUAACGAGCGAGAUCCCUGCCUCUAGUUGCCACCAUUACUCUCAGGAGUAGUGGGGCGAAUUAGCGGGACCGCCGCAGUUAAUGCGGAGGAAGGAAGGGGCCACGGCAGGUCAGUAUGCCCCGAAACUCUGGGGCCACACGCGGGCUGCAAUGGUAACGACAAUUGGUUUCGAAUCCGAAAGGAUGAGGUAAUCCUCAAACGUUACCACAGUUAUGACUGAGGGCUGCAACUCGCCCUCACGAAUAUGGAAUCCCUAGUAACUGCGUGUCAUUAUCGCGCGGUGAAUACGUCCCUGCUCCUUGCACACACCGCCCGU